UGGGGAAUCUUCCGCAAUGGACGAAAGUCUGACGGAGCAACGCCGCGUGAGUGAAGAAGGUUUUCGGAUCGUAAAACUCUGUCUUUUGGGGCGAACGUGAGUAUGGUGAACAAUCAUAGUCAGUGACGGUACCAAAGGAGGAAGCCACGGCUAACUACGUGCCAGCAGCCGCGGUAAUCGUAGGUGGCAAGCGUUGUCCGGAAUUAUUGGGCGUAAAGAGCGCGUAGGCGGGAUAGUCAGUCUGUUGUAAAGUGCGGGGCUCAACCCCGUGAUCGCAAUGGAAACAGCUAUUCUUGAGUGCAGGAGAGGAAAGUGGAAUUCCCAGUGUAGCGGUGAAAUGCGUAGAUAUUGGGAGGAACACCAGUGGCGAAGGCGACUUUCUGGACUGUGUCUGACGCUGAGGCGCGAAAGCCAGGGGAGCGAACGGGAUUAGAUACCCCCGGUAGUCCUGGCCGUAAACGAUGGGUACUAGGUGUGGGAGGUAUCGACCCCUUCCGUGCCGGAGUUAACGCAAUAAGUACCCCGCCUGGGGAGUACGGUCGCAAGACUGAAACUCAAAUGAAUUGAC
rnacentral:rRNA from 1 species